CGGUGGAUGCCUUGGUACCAGGAACCGAAGAAGGACGUAGGAAUCUGCGAUAAGCCUCGGGGAGUCGAUAACCAGACGUCGAUCCGAGGAUUUCCGAAUGGGGAAACCCGGCAGGCUUCAUCGCCUGUCACCCGCACCUGAAUAUAUAGGGUGCGUGGAGGGAACGUGGGGAAGUGAAACAUCUCAGUACCCACAGGAAGAGAAAACAA
rnacentral:rRNA from 14 species